rnacentral:tRNA from 1 species
AGCCCGGUUAGUAUAUUCAGUAUUACAACCGUUUUGUAAUCAGUAGAAGUAAGUGCAAUUCUUACACUGGGCUA